AGCCCAUGAUGCGGACAUCGUCGAAGCAAAUCUUUGAAUCUUUCCCAUGCCUCAUAAAGAGACUCAGAAUCAUAUUGAGCAAACGAGGUUAUGUCAUUCCUCAUUUU
rfam:Morus notabilis contig15234, whole genome shotgun sequence.